rnacentral:rRNA from 1 species
UGGGGAAUAUUGGGCAAUGGAGGCAACUCUGACCCAGCAACGCCGCGUGAAGGAAGAAGGCCUUAGGGUUGUAAACUUAUGUUGUAAAGGAAGAAAAGAAUGACGGUACUUUACAAGAAAGCCCCGGCUAACUAUGUGCCAGCAGCCGCGGUAAGACAUAGGGGGCAAGCGUUGUUCGGAAUUACUGGGCGUAAAGGGAGCGUAGGCGGGAGAUUAAGUUAAGAGUGAAAGCCUUGGGCUCAACCCAAGAAAUGCUCUUAAUACUGGUUUUCUAGAGUGUGGGAGAGGUAAGUGGAAUUCCUAGUGUAGCGGUAGAAUGCGUAGAGAUUAGGAGGAACAUCAGAGGCGAAGGCGGCUUACUGGACCAUAACUGACGCUGAGGCUCGAAAGCGUGGGGAGCAAACAGG